rnacentral:lncRNA from 1 species
GGCCGAUCAGGAGCGGACGUCCGCACUUUCGCUAAAGUGCGGGUGUCGAUGCGGCAGGCGGCUUCCAGGAGGCGGCGACCGCGCGGGGCUGCCUGGAGGGAGGCCGGAGGCGUCCCAGAGCUCUUCUGGGCGGCGUUUGAGGUCGGAGGAGGUCGGGCUUGCCGGUUUCUGGGCAGCCACCUCACCUGAAGUUGCAGUUUCUGUGCAGCACCGCAGAACCGUCGCCGGUGACUCCACCGGACCGCAGACCCCUCCACGCUACCCCCAACGUCCCUCACACAAGCAGCGCCGCGCCGUCGCCUCUUGAUCAAGGCCGAAGGAGCGACGUCCUCACUUUUUCUGGGUUGCGGACGUCCGCUCUCGAACGGCUCCG